GCUGCACGACUGGCGGAAAACAGGUGACUGUGGUGGGGUAACCCACAGGAAGUGUGGCAUGAUUUGCAAGCCGACCGCCUGGGCACCAC
rnacentral:ncRNA from 1 species